rnacentral:rRNA from 1 species
GACGAACGCUGGCGGCGUGCUUAACACAUGCAAGUCGAACGGAAAGGCCCUGCUUUUGUGGGGUGCUCGAGUGGCGAACGGGUGAGUAACACGUGAGUAACCUGCCCUUGACUUUGGGAUAACUUCAGGAAACUGGGGCUAAUACCGGAUAGGAGCUCCUGCUGCAUGGUGGGGGUUGGAAAGUUUCGGCGGUUGGGGUUGGACUCGCGGCUUCUCAGCUGGUUGGUGGGGUAGUGGCUUACCAAGGCUUUGACGGGUAGCCGGCCUGGGAGGUGUCCCGGCCACAUUGGGACUGAGAUACGGCCCAGACUCCUACGGGACGCAGCAUUGGGGAAUAUUGCACAAUGGGCGGAAGCCUGAUGCAGCACCGCCGCGUGCGGAAUGACGGCCUUCUGGUUGUAAACCGCUUUCGCCUGUACCGAAUCGUGAUUGACGGUAAUGGGUAAAGAAGCUCCGGCUAACUACGUG